rnacentral:rRNA from 1 species
GUGAUAAACCGGAGGAAGGUGGGGACGACGUCAAGUCAUCAUGGCCCUUNCGAGUAGGGCUACACACGUGNUCCAAUGGCGCANACAGAGGGCAGCAAGCUAGCGAUAGUGAGCGAAUCCCAAAAAUUGGAGUCUGCAACUCGACUCCAUGAAGUCGGAAUCGAUAGUAAUCGUGAAUCAGAAUGUCUCGGUGAAUACGUUCCCGGGCCUUGUACACACCGCCCGUCACACCAUGGGAGUGGGCGCAAAAGAAGUGGGUAGUUUACCUUUCGGGGAGGACGCUCACC